UACGGAGGGUGCGAGCGUUGUCCGGAUUUACUGGGCGUAAAGAGCGCGCAGGCGGUCGUGCAAGUCGCGUGUGAAAGCCCCCGGCUCAACUGAGGAAGUGCGCCCGAAACUGCAUGGCUCGAGUACCGGAGAGGAUGGUGGAAUUCCCGAAGUAGAGGUGAAAUUCGUAGAUAUCGGGAGGAACACCGGUGGCGAAGGCGACCAUCUGGACGGAUACUGACGCUGAGACGCGAAAGCGUGGGUAGCAAACAGG
rnacentral:rRNA from 1 species